rnacentral:rRNA from 1 species
CUACGUGCCAGCAGCCGCGGUAAUACGUAGGUCCCGAGCGUUGUCCGGAUUUAUUGGGCGUAAAGCGAGCGCAGGCGGUUAGAUAAGUCUGAAGUUAAAGGCUGUGGCUUAACCAUAGUACGCUUUGGAAACUGUUUAACUUGAGUGCAAGAGGGGAGAGUGGAAUUCCAUGUGUAGCGGUGAAAUGCGUAGAUAUAUGGAGGAACACCGGUGGCGAAAGCGGCUCUCUGGCUUGUAACUGACGCUGAGGCUCGAAAGCGUGGGGAGCAAACAGGAUUAGAUACCCUGGUAGUCCACGCCGUAAACGAUGAGUGCUAGGUGUUAGACCCUUUCCGGGGUUUAGUGCCGCAGCUAACGCAUUGAGCACUCCGCCUGGGGAGUACGACCGCAAGGUUGAAACUCAAAGGAAUUGACGGGGGCCCGCACAGGCGGUGGAGCAUGUGGUUUAAUUCGAUGCAACGCGAAGAACCUUACCUACUCUUGACAUCCAUGGAAUUCUGUAGAGAUACGGGAGUGC